CGCCGACCCUGUGAGCGCCCAGCACGCCAAGCUGGUGAGUGGGGCUCCCGGGACGGUG
rnacentral:pre_miRNA from 1 species